rnacentral:rRNA from 1 species
GACGAACGCUGGCGGCGUGCUUAACACAUGCAAGUCGAACGGUGAAGCGCCUUCCUUUUUGGUGGGUGUGGGUGAGUGGCGAACGGGUGAGUAACACGUGAGUAACCUGCCCCCUUCUUCUGGAUAACCGCAUGAAAGUGUGGCUAAUACGGGAUAUUCUGGGUCUGUCGCAUGAUGGGUCUGGGAAAGAUAUUGUUUCGGUGGGGGAUGGGCUCGCGGCCUAUCAGCUUGUUGGUGGGGUGGUGGCCUACCAAGGCGGUGACGGGUAGCCGGCCUGAGAGGGUGGACGGUCACACUGGGACUGAGACACGGCCCAGACUCCUACGGGAGGCAGCAGUGGGGAAUAUUGCACAAUGGGCGCAAGCCUGAUGCAGCGACGCCGCGUGAGGGAUGGAGGCCUGCGGGUUGUGAACCUCUUUCGCCAGUGAAGCAGGCCUGCCUCGUUUGUGGGUGGGUUGACGGUAGCUGGAUAAGAAGCGCCGGCUAACUACGUG